AUUUCUUUAGUAUUAACUAGUACGAUUGACUUCCAAUCAAUUAGUUUCGGUUCACCCCGAAAAGAGAUA
rnacentral:tRNA from 1 species